rnacentral:lncRNA from 1 species
GGUGGAAGACAAUCUCAUUGAAAUUUCAUCAGCGAAAAAACAGAAGCUAGAUGUUGAACUGGAUGCAGCCAUGAAUAUGACCGUAAGUACAUAUUCAAAUUGAUCUUAGACAAACCUUUGGAAUUGCAUGCACAUAAACUUUGGUGGUUACAUUUUUGGCAUAGGUUAUAGAGUUUAGGAAGCUUAUACGAGGCCAACAUUAAAAAAAAAUCAUAAGGUUUAUGCUUAAACUGAUUGGAUUACCUUAUACAAUACUGUUUAUUAAUUAGGCAAUGACAAAUUUACACUACUUCUUUGCACAAACUAUGAAUAAAAAUGAUUCAUCAUAGAAAACCCAUCAAGAGUAUGUUCAAAUCGAUUUGGGAAUCCUUUAGAAGUGCAUACAUAUCUAAUAGAGUUAUAUGCAGAUAGGCAAUUGGACCAGGUAUCACCUCAAGCAUAUGACGAUGAAGAUAUACCAGUGAAAGAGUAGAUGAAGAAGUAUUAUUCCCAUAUUUUCAUAAUUUUCCCUCAAAAUUGGAGAGUGUGUACUAGAUUGACAUUUUCUAAACUUUUAUUGCUAUUGGUUUUUUCAGCUCAAGAUGAAGAACAUAUUUGAUUAUCAAACCCU